rnacentral:rRNA from 1 species
CUAUGCCAUACCACCCUGAACGCGCCCAAUCCCCUCUGAUCUCAGAAGCUAGGCAGGGUCAGGCCUGGUUAGUGCUUGGGUGGGAGAGAGAUUAUAAGGAUUGAAAAGG